rnacentral:rRNA from 1 species
UGUUUCGACUAGGGGGUCAUCCCGACUUACCAACUCGAUGCAAACUGCGAAUACCGAAGAAUGUUAUCACGGGAGACACACGGCGGGUGCUAACGUCCGUCGUGAAGAGGGAAACAACCCAGACCGCCAGCUAAGGUCCCAAAGUCAUGGUUAAGUGGGAAACGAAGUGGGAAGGCUCAGACAGCCAGGAUGUUGGCUUAGAAGCAGCCAUCAUUUAAAGAAAGCGUAAUAGCUCACUGGUCGAGUCGGCCCGCGCGGAAGAUGUAACGGGGCUAAACCAUGCACCGAAGCUGCGGCAGCGACACAAAGUGUUGUUGGGUAGGGGAGCGUUCUGUAAGCCUGCGAAGGUGUACUGUGAGGUAUGCUGGAGGUAUCAGAAGUGCGAAUGCUGACAUAAGUAACGAUAAUGCGGGUGAAAAACCCGCACGCCGGAAGACCAAGGGUUCCUGUCCAACGUUAAUCGGGGCAGGGUGAGUCGACCCCUAAGGCGAGGCUGAAAAGCGUAGUCGAUGGGAAACGGGUUAAUAUUCCCGUACUGGUGGUAACUGCGAUGGGGGAACGGAGAAGGCUAGGUUGUCCGGGCGACGGUCGUCCCGGUUCAAGCAGGUAGGCAGAGUGAUUAGGCAAAUCCGGUCACUUAAUGCUGAGAUGUGAUGACGAACCACCAAGGUGGUGAAGCAAUUGAUGCCCCGCUUCCAGGAAAAGCCUCUAAGCUUCAGGUUACCAACAAUCGUACCCCAAACCGACACAGGUGGUCAGGUAGAGAAUACUCAGGCGCUUGAGAGAACUCGGGUGAAGGAACUAGGCAAAAUGGUGCCGUAACUUCGGGAGAAGGCACG